rfam:Oryza glumipatula chromosome 1, whole genome shotgun sequence.
UAUAAGGGAUUUUGAGUUUUUGCUUGUAAUGUUUGACCACUCGUCAUAUUUAAAUUUUUUUGAAAUUAUUAUUUAUUUUAUUUAUGACUUACUUUAUUAUCCGCAGUACUUUAAGCACAACUUUUCGUUUUUUAUAUUUGCAAAAAAAAUUUAAAUAAGACGAGUGUUCAAACGUUACAAGCAAAAACUCAAAAUCCCUUAUA